rnacentral:rRNA from 1 species
ACGAAGGGUGCAAGCGUUGCUCGGAAUCAUUGGGCGUAAAGCGCACGUAGGCGGCUUCGCAAGUCGGAUGUGAAAUCCCUCGGCUCAACCGAGGACGUGCAUCCGAAACUGCGGAGCUUGAGUAUGGAAGAGGGUCGCGGAAUUCCCGGUGUAGAGGUGAAAUUCGUAGAUAUCGGGAGGAACACCAGUGGCGAAGGCGGCGACCUGGGCCAAUACUGACGCUGAGGUGCGAAAGCGUGGGGAGCAAACGGGA